rnacentral:rRNA from 1 species
AUUGAACGCUGGCGGCAUGCCUUACACAUGCAAGUCGAACGGUAGAGUGGCAAUACUCGAGAGUGGCGAACGGGUGAGUAAUAUAUCGGAACGUGCCCAACUGUGGGGGAUAACGUAGAGAAAUUUACGCUAAUACCGCAUACGAUCUAAGGAUGAAAGCGGGGGAUCGCAAGACCUCGCGCAGUUGGAGCGGCUGAUAU